rnacentral:rRNA from 1 species
UACAGAGGUCUCAAGCGUUGUUCGGAUUCAUUGGGCGUAAAGGGUGCGUAGGCGGCGCGGUAAGUCGGGUGUGAAAUCUUGGAGCUUAACUCCGAAACUGCAUUCGAUACUGCCGUGCUUGAGGACUGGAGAGGAGACUGGAAUUUACGGUGUAGCGGUGAAAUGCGUAGAUAUCGUAAGGAAGACCAGUGGCGAAGGCGGCAUCCUGGACCAAUUCUGACGCUGAGGAGCGAAAGCCAGGGGAGCAAACGGG